AGUCGAGCGGUAAGGCCUUUCGGGGUACACGAGCGGCGAACGGGUGAGUAACACGUGGGUGAUCUGCCCUGCACUCUGGGAUAAGCUUGGGAAACUGGGUCUAAUACCGGAUAUGACCACAGCGCGCAUGUGUUGUGGUGGAAAGAUUUAUCGGUGCAGGAUGGGCCCGCGGCCUAUCAGCUUGUUGGUGGGGUAAUGGCCUACCAAGGCGACGACGGGUAGCCGACCUGAGAGGGUGACCGGCCACACUGGGACUGAGACACGGCCCAGACUCCUACGGGAGGCAGCAGUGGGGAAUAUUGCACAAUGGGCGGAAGCCUGAUGCAGCGACGCCGCGUGAGGGAUGAAGGCCUUCGGGUUGUAAACCUCUUUCAGCAGGGACGAAGCGUGAGUGACGGUACCUGCAGAAGAAGCACCGGCU
rnacentral:rRNA from 1 species